CUACGGGGUGCAGCAGGCGCGCAAACUUUACAAUGCGAGCAAUCGUGAUAAGGAAACCCUGAGUGCCUGUCGAUGCAGGCUGUUCAUAUAUCUAAAUCAUAUGUGAAGAAAGGGCAGGGCAAGACCGGUGCCAGCCGCCGCGGUAAUACCGGCUGCUCGAGUGAUGGCCACUAUUACUGGGUUUAAAGCGUCCGUAGCUUGACUGUUAGGUCUCUUGGGAAAUCUUCACGCUCAACGUGAAGGCGUCUAAGAGAUACCGGCAGUCUUGGAACUGGGAGAGGUAAACCGUACUUCGGGGGUAGGAGUGAAAUCUUGUAAUCCUCGAGGGACGACCUAUGGCGAAGGCAGUUUACCAGAACAGCUUCGACAGUGAGGGACGAAAGCUGGGGGAGCAAACGGGAUUAGAUACCCCGGUAGUCCCAGCCGUAAACAAUGUGCGUUAGGUGUGUCGGUAACCACGUGUUACUGAUGCGCCGAAGAGAAAUCGUGAAACGCACCACCUGGGAAGUACGGUCGCAAGGCUGAAACUUAAAGGAAUUGGCGGGGGAGCACCACAACAGGUGGAGCCUGCGGUUUAAUUGGAUUCAACGCCGGACAUCUCACCGGAUAAGACAGCUGAAUGAUUGUCAAUCUGAAGGUUUUACGUGACUAGCUGAGAGGAGGUGCAUG
rnacentral:rRNA from 1 species